AAAUUGUCUACAAAAGAGGUUUUACAAAAAGCGUUGCAAUUUUAGCAUUAUGUCAAAAAUGUUAUCAUUUUCGCGUCAUUUGUAUACACAAAAAGAAAAAAUGCAAGGUGUAUUCACAAAUGUGCUGUGGUACAUAGAGUUUUUUGCGUUUGCAGCGACACUGAUUGCUUUCUUCAUGUUUUUUUUGUACCUGGCAGAUCUCCAUUACAUGUCAUACAAUAUUAAAUUCGACAUGAGGAAAAAGUACAUGGCGGACGGCACUUGGUUACUGCAAAAUUGAUUCGCCACAUAAUAAAACAAAAAUUAUAAUAAUAAAAAAUGCUCCAGGGCCGAAAGUAAAGACUCGUAUUCAAGAACCGAAUCAAAGACCUGUGUGUUGUGAUUUAGGAUGUAUUUGGUUUUGUCGUUUAGUAUGCAGCAUUGUUACAAUAGCAGUGUGCUAUUAUUUUGCCUACGAACUUAUAAAAGAUACUAAGUUGAAAUUUGGAAUAUUUGUACCUUAAUAAUUGCGUUGUGUUUAGCAAAAAUCUUAUUAAAAUAAAUAUGAUUUAAUAUA